UUCCACCGCUCACACGGUACAGCUCACUAAGAACAGCAAAACUCCUAAAGACCAAGGACAGACUGGAUAAACAAGACAAGAUGCAACAAAAAAUCUAAUGAAGCAAGGGAGCUUUAGAAUUGUUGAUGGAUUGAAUGUCUAAAUGCAGCAUUUUUAACUACAAGAAGCCAUAGCAGUCACCUUGACUGACAAGGAAAAUAUGGUGAUUUUCAUGCGCUUUAGGAAGGCGUGGUUACCAUAAUGAUCUGGAUGGACAGUGGACAAACCUUGAUAGACAGUGGAGAAAUGUUGAAGGACAGUGGAAAGCCCAAAAUGUGCAGACCCUUGCCCAGCAGAGGAUGCUAGACAGCUGAGGUCAUUGCAAGACAGCAUGGACUUUGGAGAGACUA